UGGGGAAUCUUGGACAAUGGGCGCAAGCCUGAUCCAGCCAUGCCGCGUGAGUGACGAAGGCCUUAGGGUUGUAAAGCUCUUUUUGGCGGGGACGAUAAUGACGGUACCCGCAGAAUAAGCCCCGGCUAACUUCGUGCCAGCAGCCGCGGUAAUACGAAGGGGGCUAGCGUUGUUCGGAAUUACUGGGCGUAAAGCGCACGUAGGCGGAUUUGUCAGUCAGGGGUGAAAUCCCGAGGCUCAACCUCGGAACUGCCUCCGAUACAGCAAGUCUCGAGUCCGGAAGAGGUGAGUGGAAUUCCUAGUGUAGAGGUGAAAUUCGUAGAUAUUAGGAAGAACACCAGUGGCGAAGGCGGCUCACUGGUCCGGUACUGACGCUGAGGUGCGAAAGCGUGGGGAGCAAACAGGAUUAGAUACCCAGGUAGUCCCUGAGCGGGCUGGCAAGGCGCAU
rnacentral:rRNA from 1 species